rnacentral:lncRNA from 1 species
UGUCGUAUCCCUUGACAUAAAAUUCUCUUAGGGAAGCCUUUUAAAAACUUCUUUCUGUUGUUUCUGUAUCCUCUUCUAUAUACCUGUGGUUCCACUUGUAUAUCUGCAUGUCUCUGAAUUCUGAUUAUUUAUUGAUAUAUCUGUUCCCCUCAUCUUCUCUCUACUAGAUUUCAGUUUCUUAAGCACAGAUCUCACGCCUAUUAAAAUUCUGUGUCCCCAGUAUCUUAUCACUGUAUCCAGCCUAAGAGGGUGAGUGUGGUGGCAAUGGACAGAAAGAACGAAAGAAGGAAGGAAAGGAGGAAGGAAGGAAGGAAGGAAGGAAGGAAGGAAGGGAGGAAGGAAGGAGGAAGGAAGGAAGGGAAGAAGGAAGGAAGGAAGGGAGGAAGGAAAGAAGGAAGAAGGAAGGAAGAGAGGAAGGAAGGAAAGAAGGAAAGAAGGGAGGAAGGGAGGGAGGAAGGAAGGGAGGAAGGGAGGGAGGAAGGAAGGAAGGAAAGGAGGAAGGAAGGAAGGAAGGAAGAAGGAAGGAAGGAAGGAAGGAAGGAAAGGAGGAAGGAAGGAAAGGAGGAAGGAAGGAAGGAAGGAAAGGAGGAAGGAAGGAAGGAAGGAAAGGAGGAAGGAAGGAAGGAAGGAAGGAAAGGAGGAAGGAAGGAAAGGAGGAAGGAAGGAAAGGAGGAAGGAAGGAAGGAAGAAGGAAGGAAGGAAAGGAGGAAGGAAGGAAGGAAGAAGGAAGGAAGGAAGGAAGGAAAGGAGGAAGGAAGGAAGGAGGAAGGAAGGAAAGGAGGAAGGAAGGAAAGGAGGAAGGAAGGAAGGGAGGGAGGAAGGAAGGGAGGAAGGGAGGGAGGAAGGAAGGAAGGAAAGGAGGAAGGAAGGAAGGAAAGGAGGAAGGAAGGAAGGAAAGGAGGAAGGAAGGAAGGAGGAAGGAAGGAAGGGAGGAAGGGAGGGACGGGGGAGACGAGUGCCAUGGUGUCACAUAUAACCAGGGCCAUUUUCAGUCUUCUGUUGCUCUCGGCACGCUCUGAUUUUGAUGGUCCCACCUUAUAUCAUGUCAAAAAUGUUAAAAGCACUCACAUUAUAGCGCCAUUUACUUUUUGCUAUAAAGGAACUUCAAAGGAUCUUUGUGAUUCUGCUUUUGAAAUGAUAUGGCUCCAAGUAACUCAUUUAUUUUGUAAUUAGUCAUGGUUUUUCAGGUUUCACAGCUAAUUGUGCAUGGCGAAGCAAGAAAAUC